rnacentral:rRNA from 1 species
UGCUCCCUGGGUGACGAGCGGCGGACGGGUGAGUAAUGUCUGGGAAACUGCCUGAUGGAGGGGGAUAACUACUGGAAACGGUAGCUAAUACCGCAUAACGUCGCAAGACCAAAGAGGGGGACCUUCGGGCCUCUUGCCAUCAGAUGUGCCCAGAUGGGAUUAGCUAGUAGGUGGGGUAAUGGCUCACCUAGGCGACGAUCCCUAGCUGGUCUGAGAGGAUGACCAGCCACACUGGAACUGAGACACGGUCCAGACUCCUACGGGAGGCAGCAGUGGGGAAUAUUGCACAAUGGGCGCAAGCCUGAUGCAGCCAUGCCGCGUGUGUGAAGAAGGCCUUCGGGUUGUAAAGCACUUUCAGCGAGGAGGAAGGUGGUGAACUUAAUACGUUCAUCAAUUGACGUUACUCGCAGAAGAAGCACCGGCUAACUCCGUGCCAGCAGCCGCGGUAAUACGGAGGGUGCAAGCGUUAAUCGGAAUUACUGGGCGUAAAGCGCACGCAGGCGGUUUGUUAAGUCAGAUGUGAAAUCCCCGGGCUCAACCUGGGAACUGCAUUUGAAACUGGCAAGCUAGAGUCUCGUAGAGGGGGGUAGAAUUCCAGGUGUAGCGGUGAAAUGCGUAGAGAUCUGGAGGAAUACCGGUGGCGAAGGCGGCCCCCUGGACGAAGACUGACGCUCAGGUGCGA